GAUUGAACGCUGGCGGCAUGCCUAACACAUGCAAGUCGAACGGAGGGCUUCGGCCCUUAGUGGCGGACGGGUGAGGAACGCGUAGGAAUCGGCCCACGAGUGGGGGACAACCUGGGGAAACUCAGGCUAAUACCGCAUACGCUCGCGAGAGGAAAGCGGGGGACCUUCGGGCCUCGCGCUGGUGGACGAGCCUACGUCCGAUUAGCUAGUUGGUGGGGUAAAAGCCUACCAAGGCGACGAUCGGUAGCGGGUCUGAGAGGACGACCCGCCACACUGGGACUGAGACACGGCCCAGACUCCUACGGGAGGCAGCAGUGGGGAAUAUUGGACAAUGGGCGCAAGCCUGAUCCAGCAAUGCCGCGUGGGUGAAGACGGCCUGCGGGUUGUAAAGCCCUUUAGGCGGGGAGGAACGGCCGGGUGUCAACACCACCUGGCGCUGACGUUACCCGCAGAAUAAGCACCGGCUAACUCCGUGCCAGCAGCCGCGGUAAUACGGAGGGUGCGAGCGUUAAUCGGAAUUACUGGG
rnacentral:rRNA from 1 species